GGACGCUUGAGAAUAUCCGUCACGUUGAUACCGUGGAUUCGAGUACACAACACUACAUUGUUCGAAAGUUUUAGCUAAAACUCCAUUGGGUUGUAUGGUGAUCCCUUCUUUCUAUUUGUGUGUUGGCCGUGAAUUCAGAGGUUUCAGCAAACCCAGUGCCAAAGGAGCGGGAGUGGGACAGAGCCCGUCAAGGUUUUUAAAUAAGAGCGAUGAGUUUAUGUGUUUGGAAACAUAACUCUGGGAGCGCCAUAAAGGAGUGAUUCCGAGGGACGAAAGAAUUUUUUUCCCCCUGAAGAUUGUGAUAAAGAUGUGUGAACUAAGGAUACUUGGAACACCUGCGCAAGCACUGGAUUUUGCCCAGCGACAUCUUAAAGGAAGCAGGCUGUGAGCCAAGGGGAAGGCAGAGGACAGAUAUGAGCGUGUCCCCAAGAUUUCCUGGUGGUUUAUGGUAUUCUCCAAACUCCUAUGCAAGGUCUGUGCCUGACCAAGAAGACCCAAGGAGACCUUCUCUAAAAUCAAGUCCGGAUGAAGCUUGUCUUUCGGAAAUUCGUGCAAGAUGCUAUAUUCUCUAAGCCUGCAGUGGCUUCCUCUGUUUCAGCACUAGAUGGUGCUCUACAUCCAGGUUUAUCACAGCCCAGUGUUGGUGUGUUGCCACUGUUUUAGCACUAGAGGGCAAUCCAAGGUGAAGUUUGCCCCAAAUCUGCAAUUGUUGUUAUUUAACAUAAAUUGG
rnacentral:lncRNA from 1 species